GCCGUCUGGUUUAUUAUUGUUAGUAAAUGUUAAUUUGUGGGCCUUCCUCCCUCCCUCCUGAAGUUGUGGAUUAACCUUGUUGGCGUUGAAGUAAGGGAGUCCACACUGUGUCUGAGAAGUGUCUCAAGUGGUUCGCCUAUGGAAUACCAUAGGACUUUUGGUCUCCAGUUCAUAUACUGUGAUGUCACAUCUCAAGACCAAGUGUAACUAAGAAGAAGUUCACAAUGUCAAGC